UACGAAGGGGGCUAGCGUUGCUCGGAAUCACUGGGCGCAAAGGGUGCGUAGGCGGGUCUUUAAGUCAGGGGUGAAAUCCUGGAGCUCAACUCCAGAACUGCCUUUGAUACUGAAGAUCUUGAGUUCGGGAGAGGUGAGUGGAAUUGCGAGUGUAGAGGUGAAAUUCGUAGAUAUUCGCAAGAACACCAGUGGCGAAGGCGGCUCACUGGCCCGAUACUGACGCUGAGGCACGAAAGCGUGGGGAGCAAACAGG
rnacentral:rRNA from 1 species